UACAGAGGGUGCGAGCGUUGUCCGGAAUCACUGGGCGUAAAGGGCGCGUAGGCGGCCUGGUAAGCGUGCGGUGAAAGCCCGGGGCUCAACCCCGAGUCGGCCGUGCGAACUGGUGGGCUUGAGCACUGUAGAGGCAGGCGGAAUUCCGGGUGUAGCGGUGGAAUGCGUAGAGAUCCGGAAGAACACCGGUGGCGAAGGCGGCCUGCUGGGCAGUAGCUGACACUGAGGCGCGACAGCGUGGGGAGCAAACAGG
rnacentral:rRNA from 1 species